rnacentral:tRNA from 1 species
GACCGCGCGGCUCAGUUGGCAGAGCAUUGGGCUAGUAUUCCAAAGGUCGUAGGUUCGAUUCCCACCGUGGUCA